AUUGAACGCUGGCGGCAGGCCUAACACAUGCAAGUCGAACGAGUGGCGGACGGGUGAGUAAUGUCUGGGAAACUGCCUGAUGGAGGGGGAUAACUACUGGAAACGGUCGCUAAUACCGCAUACCAUCAGAUGUGCACAGAUGGGAUUAGCUAGUUGGUGGGGUCACGGCUCACCAAGACGACGAUCCCUAGCUGGUCUGAGAGGAUGACGGGGCACACUGGUCUGGAGAGACGGUCGAGACUGCUAGGGGAGGCAGCAGUAGGGUAUAGUGGGCAAUGGGCGAAAGCCUGAGGCUGCCAGGCGGCGUUGAUGAAGACGGCGUUCGGGUUGUGAAGUACUUUCAGGGGGGAGGCGUUACCUGCAGAAGAAGCACCGGCUAACUCCGAGCCAGUAGCCGCGGUAAUUC
rnacentral:rRNA from 1 species